rnacentral:lncRNA from 1 species
CAGAGUUCCAGGACAGCAGGGGCUAUACAGAGAAACCCUGUCUCGAAAAACCAAAAAAAAAAAAAAAAAAAAAAAAAAAAAAAAACCCGCAACUGAUUGCUUUUCCCACCAUGCUCAAUAAUCAGGGGCAAGCAUACAUCCUGACAUUUCCUACCUACAUACCUCUCCCCACAUGUGAUCAGGCACAUUCAGUGUAGAUGGGUCAAACAGUUUAGCGGAGUGAAAACAUGUGACUUGUUAUCUCCCAAGAACGAAAGCCCCCAGCGUUCCAGGAAGUUACCUUGUCCUUAGGCAGGGCAUCUGGGGCUCCGAGCUUAACUUGGCUCUUUGAUUUAUAACAUUCUUAGCUGUAGAGUUGGAGGCUAGCAGUGUGCUAAGGUUAACAGUGCAUUCCCAAAGUUGUACCCAAUAGUCACAAAAAAAAGAUGUGGAAGGUGGUAGUAAGCGACUAGUGAGAAGACUAAAGAGCACAAGGUAAUCUUACCUUUUAAUUUACAACAUCCCACCUAUUCAUAAACAGAAAGCCAUAGUCUGUCUUGCGGAUCUUCACGGCACAUGUGGCUUCUUCAGAGAACUUCAGUUCCAACCACCAACUGCCAGAAAAGAUCAAAUUAGAAGCUAAACCUCUUUCAGCCAUUCUUAGAAUAUAUAAACAGAUUUUCUUGAAGGCGGAGGGUAGGUCUGAGCCAUGCUUUAAAAUAGACAUAAAGACAGAUGGCAAGAGAAGAUGGCUGGCUGAUGGGAACUGCAAGGGAAAAAAAAAAGCCCAGGGCAUUUGUUUGAAAGGCUGUGAGGGAAAAAAGGCAUAGGGAAACGGGAGUAGAGAGAAUAUAGCCUAACACAGGGUGCCUAACCAUUGCGGGGAAGAAGAGUAUAUAAGACUGUGAAAACAGACAGCCUGUUAGAGAUGGUGCUUAAUACAGGACUUAGUGCUUAGAGCAAAUAGCUAAAAUCAGCUGGGUGCUGCACGCCUUACUUAGCACUUAGGAGGCAGCGGCAGGUGAAUCUCUGUGAGUUCGAGGCCAGCCUGGUUUAUGGAGUGAGUUCCAGGACAGCCAGGACUACACAGAGAAACCCUGUCUUAAAAACAAAAACAAAACAAACAAACAAAAAAUCAAAACGAUAAAUAUCCAGGUUAGGUAGAAGGGAGGCACCAGACUCAAAAGCUUAACAAUUUAACAGAUCACAAAACACGGCCUUGGUUUUGGUUUUUGGUUUUUGGUUUUUGUUUGUUUGUUUGUUUGUGUGUGUGUGUGUUUGCUUGUUUUAAAUAUUUUUGCACUUGUCCCAUGAGUUUAGAUUGCACUUUGCCUGUUUUUAUUGCUUCAUUGUUUAGUUUGUUCUUCUAGAUCAUGAAAUGCUAAUAGUUCGCAUGGAGGGUGGACAGUUGUGGUUCUCACGGGCCAAGGAGCAGAGAAGGACCUGCCAGACCUGCAAGUAUGUCUUCUCUCAGAAAGGUUACCAGAAGACGAAGGGAAGAUGCAUUCAAUUGGAAACACAAUACCACAGAGAGUCUUUGCCAGCCCACCAUGUUCUGGGGGCUGAAGGUCUCAACCCUCUGUCUGCCUCCUCUUCACAGCGGAAGAAUUUGUUGGCAUGCUUUCAUUGUCUAUUAAGAUAUCCAUUAGGAACGGCUGAGGCCUGCUGCAGGGCCACUCUGGUCUUUGAUCUCCACCCCCUACCCCCAUCCUGACAGGUCUCAAGGAUGGAACUCAAAGCACCGUGCUGCCAUUCCUGGGCUCCAUCAUCAACGCUGAAAACCAAGACCCACCCCCUCCUACAACUAUGCUGGGUUAUUAUUUAGGGGAAUGUCCAUUAUUUUUUUUAUAUUGAGCAAAUUACAAAAACACAGAACAAGUAUGUUAGGGACCACUGAGCUUUGUGUCUUUUCAUGCUGAGCCAUCUUACCAGCCCUUAUAGUAUUAGAUCUACAAAGUUCCAGCUCUCUCUGCGGUGAACCAUGGAAUUCUUACAACCAGCAGUAAACAGAUUACCCACCCUGUCUUUGCCUUGCUUUGUCAUGUACAGGACUUGAACUCUAGGAACCAGACUUGGCAUUUUCUUUUCUUAAAGAGUUCCUCUUCUCUACCCAGAUUUAUAA